rnacentral:rRNA from 1 species
GAUGAACGCUGGCGGCGUGCCUAAUACAUGCAAGUCGAGCGAACAGACGAGGAGCUUGCUCCUCUGACGUUAGCGGCGGACGGGUGAGUAACACGUGGAUAACCUACCUAUAAGACUGGGAUAACUUCGGGAAACCGGAGCUAAUACCGGAUAAUAUAUUGAACCGCAUGGUUCAAUAGUGAAAGACGGUUUUGCUGUCACUUAUAGAUGGAUCCGCGCCGCAUUAGCUAGUUGGUAAGGUAACGGCUUACCAAGGCAACGAUGCGUAGCCGACCUGAGAGGGUGAUCGGCCACACUAGAACUGAGACACGGUCCAGACUCCUACGGAAGGCAGCAGUAGGGAAUCUUCCGCAAUGGGCGAAAGCUUGACGGAGCAACGCCGCGUGAGUGAUGAAGGUCUUCGGAUCGUAAAACUCUGUUAUUAGGGAAGAACAAAUGUGUAAGUAACUAUGCACAUCUUGACGGUACCUAAUCAGAAAGCCACGGCUAACUACGUG